rnacentral:rRNA from 1 species
GAUGAACGCUGGCGGCGUGCCUAAUACAUGCAAGUCGAGCGAACAGACGAGGAGCUUGCUCCUCUGACGUUAGCGGCGGACGGGUGAGUAACAUGUGGAUAACCUACCUAUAAGACUGGGAUAACUUCGGGAAACCGGAGCUAAUACCGGAUAAUAUAUUGAACCGCAUUGUUCAAUAGUGAAAGACGGUUUUGCUGUCACUUAUAGAUGGAUCCGCGCCGCAUUAGCUAGUUGGUAAGGUAACGGGUUACCACGGCACCGCUGCGUAGCCGACCUGAGAGGGUGAUACGCCGCACUAGAACGGAAACACGGCCAAGACUCCCACGGGAGGCAGCAGAAGGGAAUCUUCCGCAAUGGGCGAAAGCCUGACGGAGCAACGACGCGUGAGUGAUGAAGCUCUUCGGAUCGUAAAACUCUGUUAUGAGGGAAGAACAAAUGUGUAAGUAACUAUGCACGUCUUGACGGUACCUAAUCAGAAAGCCACGGCUAACUACGUG